AUCGAGUAUACUCUAGGCAAGGCCAAUGUGAUUGCUGACGCUUUGAGCAGGAAAGCGUAUUGCAACAGUUUGAUUCUCAAGCCUCAUCAACCCGAGCUUUGUGAAGCUUUCCACAAACUUAACCUGCAAGUUGUUCCUCAAGGUUUCCUCGCCAACCUUCAAGUCUCUCCUACCUUGGAAGACCAGAUUCGCCAAUCCCAGCUUCUUGAUGCUAUGGUGAAAAGGGUGAAGAUUGGGAGUGCCAAGAGUCAACCCAAGUACAAGUGCUACCGCCUUGAUGACAAGGAUACUCUCUUC
rnacentral:rRNA from 1 species